ensembl:lncRNA
CCCCCCCACUCCCCUUCACUAUAAGCCCACACAGGAGGACUUCAGAAGUCACAUACUUUUCAAGCUCAUACAUUCAACAAAUUAUACACGUAAUGUGUAAAACAUUUAAUAAAUUAGUAUAACCCCAACACAAUGUUUGCUACUGUAUUAAAAGCAUUUAUUUAAAAUAUGUCCACCUCCUUCCAAAAGAUGGAAGACACAGGAACCCAUCUCUUAUAUCGUGAGGUAUAUGGUAACAACAAUAAUCCUAAAUGCAAAAGGACCGUCAGGUGCCUAAAUAUAAAAUUGAACUUUGGCAAAGAUACGAGUGUUAUACAAAAUAACACAGCCAAUAAGGAAAUACAUAUUUUUUACACCAUUUCCCCCUAUCAUGGCCCUGUCCCCUUUCACUCUUCCCUCUGAAAGGAUGAGUUAUAACCCUGUCCAGAUGACUCAGAAUUUUAAGGAUUAACAUUUAUUCUUUUCAAACUUCAGUACUACAGCUAUACAAAUUACACUUUAAAAUAUUUGAAACAGAUAUUGAAUUUAUUGGUUGGCUAUGAGUAGGAAAAUACAUUGGUAAAGAAAAGACACCCUGUAUAUAAAUAUAAUACUACCUAGUUACAAUUUGACCAAGAAGGUUCCACUGAAAAGAAGAUUAAAAGCCCUUGUUACCACCAGUCCAUACGGUCUAAAUUCAGUUUUCCAUUACCCUUAUCAAAGAGCUGCCUAGGCAAAUGUGACAUUCUUUGAGCUUAGUGCAGAUAAUGUGCUGGGUUUUCUUAUUACACGAAUGGUAAACAAGAGUUAGUCCAGUGCAUUACACAAUAUAAUGUACUGUGAAUAAAGACUAGAUACUCUAUUUUAGACACUACAUCAACAUACCAGUUUUUAAAUUUUACAUAACCAAAAGGAAGAGCAAAGCGAACAUCUUAAAUACUGUUUGUAAGUGGGGGACAGACCCUUCCUUAAAGCGUUCCUCCCACUGUCUGCCAAUAGCUAUGCUGAUAUUCUGAUUUUGGCAAGACUAGGGAUUGAACCCAAGGUCUUUGCAGUGAGCUACAUCCCCAGCCCUUUUAAAAAAUGCAGCUGAGACAGGGUCUCUAAGGAUUAAAUUGCCCAGGUGGGGAUCAAACUUGUGAUCCUCCUGUCUCAUCCUUCCAGAGUACUGGGAUUACAGGCAUGCACAACCACACUUGGCUUUGAUUCAUUAAAAGACCAAAGGGUUGGUAACUGUUUUUGUUUUAGGUUGGCUUUUGUAUGACAUGACCCCCAAACCUUAAAAAGUCACGAUGGAAACUAAUUCCUUAAGUUUGAACAGUAAGAAAAGUGGAACUCUAAAACUUGAAUGUUAUUAUCAAAAACCUCAAUCUUAGAAAGGAUUUGAAACUGUAAUUUCAACAUUCAGAAGUGCAUGCCAUCCAAUUUACUGAUAUCCUUAGGUUUCAAAGUGCUAACCCAAAAUAAGUUCUCCUGGUUGCCCCCCAAUCAAAAAUACAAAUGAAAACUCGUUUCUUGGAGAUGUUCUCUGCCUAUCUUCUGGGACUAUUAAAGUUGCAAUCAACAAUUUACUUCUACAACUUUAGUUUAAAUUAUGCCAUAAAUUAAUUUUGAUGAACAUUAUUUAAAUUCUCAAAGCAUAAAUAAUUACCACUAAUAUUGUAAAACGUAUUCAAGAGAUUUACAACAAGGAAUUGAGUGCCUCCAAAUUUCUCAUCUUUAAAACAAAAAAACCACAUCCCAAAUUUUCUGUAAAACAUUCCUAAGAUGAUUUUUCCAGCAAGAACACUGAAAUUACAUUAUGGCAAAACAUUAAAUACAUGUUACAGAAUUUUUGUAAAAUAAUCUACACUACGAAAACAAACUAGUUUUUAUUGCAUUUUAGGAGUAUGGAUUAUUGGAAAUUAUUCAGGACACAGAAAAUAUCCAGAACAUAAACCCUCGCUUAAUGAAAGUAUCAUAGUCUGUUUUGGUGUGAACGUUUAUCCGCGAUUGACUCAAACUAUUUCUUUUUCUUUUGAAGGUUACAGUUGUAAAUCUGCACUCUUGGUUUAAUUUACACUAUCUACGUAAGGUGGAGAAGCUGUUCAAACUGAUUCACAGACGCAGUGUGCCUGGAAGAGGCAAAAACAAGUACUCUCAAGACACAGCAGGCCAUUCUAUCUUAGUAUGCGGUCCCAAAUUUCAAAUAUAUUAUACACAGUAACAAAUACAGAUGAAAACAUUUUGUGUAAAGCUCAAACCUGUAGCAUCUAACAAGUGCACUCUAGCUCCAGCAUCUAUGAAAAGAACACAUCUUCCGAUAACAAACAGAACAGUAAGUGCUCCUCCUCCCAACCACAAAGCCCUCUGGACCUUUGAUACCACAAUCGGGUCCCAUGAAGAGCAGCUUCCUCCAUCAGUACAACCGGCUCCAGAUCACCCUCACCGGAAAUUGUCAUGAUGCACAUACAACACAGUGUUUAGGGAAAAUGAGUAAACACACUUUCAUUCUCACUUUACAAAAAAAUAAAACAAAACCCAUAAAAAGUCAUGAACUGGUUCUACAUUAGUAACACCAGCUUUGCAACGUACUGAUUAUAAACUAAAUGUGUUUGGUGUUGGCACAAUUUAAAAAGUGCCAAAAAAAAAAAAAAAAAAAUUAC